rnacentral:rRNA from 1 species
AACGAACGCUGGCGGCGUGGAUAAGACAUGCAAGUCGAACGCUUGUCGUAGGGUAGCAAUAUUCUGCGGCAGGAGUGGCGCAAGGGUGCGUAACACGUGGGUCAUUUGCCGCGAAGUUGGGAACAACUCGUUGAAAGACGAGCUAAUACCUAAUGUGCUCCGCAAGGAGUAAAGCCGGGGACCGAAAGGCCUGGCGCUUCGCGAUAAGCCCGCGGCCUAUCAGCUAGUUGGCGGGUAAAAGCCCACCAAGGCUAAGACGGGUAGCUGGUCUGAGAGGACGACCAGCCACACUGGAACUGAGACACGGUCCAGACACCUACGGGUGGCAGCAGUCGAGAAUUUUUCACAAUGGGCGAAAGCCU